rnacentral:sRNA from 1 species
GGCGGCCUCCUCUCAGACGGAACUUUUCUGCUUGGGUUAAGGAAAACGCUUUUUGGAGUCAGGCCCUGGAGCGGCGGGCCUUGCUCACCGGGUGGGGAUACAGCCGAUUACCCGCCCUGUGCCCUCCGAUGGCUUCUGCGGGGCGAGCGGGGCCUGGCUGGGGGGUGCGGGCGGGAGGGCCAGCCGGCGGCGCCUGCAGCCCGGGCCGCGUAACGCUGACCGCUGUACCUUCCGUUCUUCCAGGAGAAAGCCAUGUUCAGUUCGAGCGCCAAGAUCGUGAAGCCCAAUGGCGAGAAGCCGGACGAGUUCGAGUCCGGCAUCUCCCAGGCUCUUCUGGAACUGGAGAUGAACUCGGACCUCAAGGCUCAGCUCAGAGAGCUGAAUAUUACGGCAGCCAAGGUAAGCUGGCUCUCCAUCGGCUGGGAGGGAGGUUGCGGCGCGUCUCCCCGCGCAGUGCCUGGGAGGGUUGUUAGAUGACCUGGGUUACGGUUGAUGAUGACUUGCUGCCUGGCCGCCUAACUUGAACUCAGGUUCGGCCGUGUUGUUUGGGAGUGAUACCGCCCAGGUGCGGGGAGUGGGGUUGCAGGUACCCUGCAGCUUAAGCUGUCCACGUGUGGGCGGUGGAGAGACGUGGAGUAGGGAGGGCCCGGGCCCAUUUCGGACCUUAUUUGCCCAUAGUUAUAGAUACAGCAAAGAGCUGUGGGGAGCCCAGGAUGAGACUUCUCUACACUUAGCCCGGAGUUGCCGCAAGCGGGGGUGCAGAAGUGUCAGUGAUUGGCCUCCUGGCCUGGACAGUCUCCCUUUUUCCUGGAAUAAGGAAAUGUGAAGGUUGGAGAGAGAUGAGAACAUCUCCGAAGGGUGCAUUUAUCAUUAACUCAAAACUAGUAUUAGUUUGUAAUGCAGCUACGGUGUUAGUGAUAAGGUCUUUUUAUCCUCUAAUUUGACCACAACGUUUACUUUUACUUUCUGAAGCAGUUAACAAAGUGGAUUUUUGUUUUUUUCUUUAGGAAAUUGAAGUUGGUGGUGGUCGGAAAGCUAUCAUAAUCUUUGUUCCCGUUCCUCAACUGAAAUCUUUCCAGAAAAUCCAAGUCCGGCUAGUACGCGAAUUGGAGAAAAAGUUCAGUGGGAAGCAUGUCGUCUUUAUCGCUCAGGUAUCUGUUCUACUGUUGCAGCACGUUUCUGUUUGUGAAUUUUGCUAAAAUUGCUUGUAUUUUGACUGCAUUGGUAGUUGGAUUCAUGAAAACAAUCCUUUUAUGAAUCCAGUUGGGUAGAAAGAUAAAGUACAGGGGGAGCGCCGUGGCUUUAGGCCUGUAAUCCCAGCACUGGGAGGUGGAGGCGGGUGGAUCACUUUAGAGACCAGCCUGGGCAACAUGGUAAGACCCUGUCUACAAAAAAUAAGUUUUAAAAAGAAAGAUAAAGUACGUUCUUUAGGAGUCGAAACAAGAAGUCUGUAAAGUGUAAACAAGAAGACUGCUGUGUUUUCAGUUAUGAAAAUGAUUUCCCAUAUUUAAAUUUCCACAAGUCUAGUGGGUUGCUUACAGAGAUGACCAAAUUAAGAAACCUGUUACAGGCCGGGCCCGGUGGCUCACGCCUGUAAUCCCAGCACUUUGGGAGGCCGAGGCAGGCGGAUCACGAGGUCAGGAGAUCGAGACCAUCCUGGCUGACACGGUGAAACUCCGUCUGUAUUAAAAAAUACAAAAAAUUAGCCGGGCGUCGUGGUGGGCGCCUGUAGUCCCAGCUACUCGGGAGGCUGAGGCGGGAGAAUGGCAUGAACCCGGGAGGUGGAGCUUGCAGUGAGCCGAGAUCCCGCCACUGAACUUCAGCCUGGGCGACAGCCAGGCUCCGUGUCAAAAAAAAAAAAAAAAAGAAACCUGUUACAGUUAGGAUGGGGGAUUGGUGCAAACUGAAGUCUAUGGGGAAUGAAGUGCCAGGAUUGAUCUGGAAUAAAAGUAGUAUUCUGGGUCAUAGGAAAGGCGUAUCUGGAAGAUUUUUUCCACUGGCGUAUUAGUAGAGGCUAUGGAUUCUGAAUGAGUUAUUCAGGAAUCAGGAAGUAACUCCAUAGAAGGGUUUCCUCAGUCAAUCUUUGGUCUAAGUUGUUUAGCCUUCUCGAACUUUGAAUUUACCCUGCUAUUCUUCUUGCUUUUAAAGCAGUAUGGCAGUUACAGCUUUUUGUCAAUUUAAGGUCUUUUUUCAUUUUGUUGCAUGAUAAUUUUUACCUUACAGAGGAGAAUUCUGCCUAAGCCAACUCGAAAAAGCCGUACAAAAAAUAAGCAAAAGCGUCCCAGGAGGUGAGUAUUUUAGUAGUUUCAGAAAUGUGUGUACCCCUCUUAUUAACAACUCUUAAUUUGUGUAAGUUGUAGUUUAUGAAAACAGAUGUUCAAGUGGGAGUUUUUGAGUUGCAGCAUUUGGUUUCGUCUGUAGUUGCACAUGGUAUGUUAGAAUUCUAGACGUAAAACAUGUAUUCAUGUAGCCGUCGUUUGUCUAGUAGGUCAGUGCUGCCACAAGAUGAGAUGAUUUCCUCCGAUUAUUUUUGUGCACGGGAUAGGAUGACGAGAAGGAAAUCAUUAACUCUGUGAUAUAGCAUGCUAGACAUAGUUGAUACGGGCUUGGAUUUAUCUUUGAUUUUUAUUUUUGCUGCGGAUUGGAGGUAAAAAAAUGUAGGUGGAUUUUGGUGAUAACAUCACAGGUUAAAAUAUCACUGCAGUUGAAGAUGCUGAUGGAAAAUGAUUUAUGAACUUGAUUGACUUACAGGUUAUCUGGCAUAAACUCAAAUAUUGGUAGUUGUCUUCUUGAACUAGAUCUUUUGGUAUUUUGUUAGUCUCUGAUUAGUAUGUUGUUUUACAAAUGUGAACUAUUAAAUCCCUGUGGACUGGAAUUCCCUAGGGAUGAGUUUAAGAAAAAAAAAAUUGUAGUUAUGCCUGUACCCUAUAACAUGUAUAAUUUGUAUUGUUAUUCUCAGUGGAUGAGAAAACUGAUCCAAGGCUGGGAUAAUUUGCUCAUUGCAGCUAAUACUAGUAGUACCAAGAAUUUUUUUUAAACUCAGUCUUGUUCUGAAAACCGCUAGAAAACAGUGUUGGCAAUCUAGUAAUGUGUUAUUGUAUCGAACUGUGGUAUGUGGAAAGGUAGGUGCCAGGUUUUCUAGAACUUGAAUUCUAUGGCUUAGUAUUUUGAAAAACUUUUAAAGGCAGAGUGGCAUAAGAAUUUAGGAUUUUUUUCCCCUAAAUCAUGACACUUAAAGAGGGUUUUGGAAACUCAGUUCUGAGAACCUGAGUUAGGAAAUGAGUAUAAGAACAGUCCCAGAGGACUGUCCCUCAAAUCCACAGCUUUAGUUCCCCUCAGUACAAACCUCUGUUUUCCAAAUUUUUUCAGACAAUGGCUUCACAGUGUUUCUAGUGGGACCUAGUCUGUACAUUGAAAGCCUUCACACUAAGCCUAGCUGGUGGGUCAUAGUGAUUCUACCGCUUUUCCAAUCUGGCUUCCUGCUUUCAGAUUUAUUUUCCCUAUUCCGUAGCGCUAUCUUUAUCUAACUCAGGUGAAAUGCUGAAAUUGAUACAGUUUUUGGGUAUAGCAGGGUUUUUUCCUCUAAAGCGCUCCAGUCCCUGUGGUUUGUGAUGAUUGAGUUGUGGUGCCUUUGCUCCCCAUUUUAAAAAGAUUGUAGAUGACAUUGGAAUCUAAUUUCUGUAUUUGGGUGCUUUCCUAGUAUUGUAAGAAUAUGCUUAAUUAAUGAGUCGCAAUGAAUAAUCCAUUUGUCUUGAUUUGCUUUCUGAAAGGUGAUAAGGGUUUUGGGAAAUGGACUUUCUUCAGGCUUUUGCCCUUUGUGGCUGUGACAUAUUAAGAUGUUGGCAGUAAAAUUGAGAGCCACCAGAAGAUGUUAACUGUGUAUAUGGGCGCUGCCAGAUAGGAAAUCCAAAUGAGUAGACUAUAGUGUUAUUGUUAGCUACCGUGGGGUGAGACAUAGACAGGUAACCAUAUGUAAGGCAGCUCCCUAAAUGCUGAAACAAAGAACCGUCUCUUGACUUAUUCCUGAUGUCUCAUGGUACAUGGUAGCUGCCCCAAAAGCUUGCAAUUAAUUGAAACUUCUCAUUUGUUAGGUGGCAGGUAGGUAGGUUUUGAACUUGGUAGUGAUAUUCAGAUGAGGAGCAAGAUUCCACUGGCAGUUUUUGUGAUGCUAAGUAAAUUAUGUGAUCAUAUCAGUUUUUUAGAAAGAUUAUCUUGACAUUGGAAGGGGGUGGUUUUGGAGAUGAGCAAGAGUGUUAAAGGUUAUUGUAGUGAUUUAGUUGAGAAAUAAUACAAGUGAAAAUAAAGAUGUAUAAAAGUCCUCUAAUCUCACAUUCCCUAGAGAUGGUCACUCAUUGCCUUGGUGAGUUUGUAGUUUACCCCAGAGUAACAUUUAAAAUUGACUGAGCUUUUGAAAUAAAUCAAUAAGCUAUUACCCUAUUCUAGGUAGGCAAAGGCUUUAGUUCGAUACGUGAAAUAUAACAAGCUUAUUUGAAAAUGAGUGUUAAUUUGACUUCAGGAACCUGGGAUUUGCAUUUUCAUUUUGACUUAAAGAGGUGCCGCACCUCUGGAGUUCACCAGAGGGCGGGUAUUGCUAGGUUGCUUACCUUUUUAACUAUUCUUUUAGCCGGACUCUGACAGCUGUGCACGAUGCCAUCCUUGAGGACUUGGUCUUCCCAAGCGAAAUUGUGGGCAAGAGAAUCCGCGUCAAACUGGAUGGCAGCCGGCUCAUAAAGGUUCAUUUGGACAAAGCACAGCAGAACAAUGUGGAACACAAGGUAAUAGGUCAACAUUUUAUCAUGGACAGGUUCAGCCACAGUGAGAGUGGAUUUUAGUGUAACCAGUCUCCAUGCGCCACCAUAGCAAUGACUGUAGUAAACUCAGGACUAGUUCUUUUACCCACACUUCAGCCUGCUCUCCUUUGGAUUAUGUGUCAGGUGUUAAAUGGAGAUGUUUCAAGAAUUGAACACUUGAAAUUCUCUGUACCUUUUGGAAGUAGACUCAUUCUGUGGUCUGACUUUCAGUUAGGCUGUAUAUUCUUGGUGAGUUGGUGGGUGGUGAUGGGAUCAGUGUCUUGGGGGACAUAACCAUGUGGGUGACUGCUGGGGUCCCCUGAUGGCUUCCCCGGUGCAGUGGUGUACAGUCCUGUCCCACAACAUUGGAGAGGAGCUUGUCCCCGGUCAUGAAGACUGCUGCGGACAUGUUGUGUGUAUUCCUUAUCUUCUCAGUACUUAGUUGCUGAGAAGAAAAACCAUACAGGGCACAACUUCACGAAACUAUUAGGUUUUAAGCUGAGUGUGUAUUUCAAAGUUUUGUGAUGAAUUCUUUCUUUUCUUGUAGGUUGAAACUUUUUCUGGUGUCUAUAAGAAGCUUACGGGCAAGGAUGUUAAUUUUGAAUUCCCAGAGUUUCAAUUGUAAACAAAAAUGACUAAAUAAAAAGUAUAUAUUCACAGU